AGCGAACGCUGGCGGCAUGCUUAACACAUGCAAGUCGCACGGUCGGGGGCAACUCCGGCAGUGGCGGACGGGGUGAGUAACGCGUAGGAAUCUAUCCUUGGGUGGGGGACAACCGUGGGAAACUACGGCUAAUACCGCAUGAUCCCUGAGGGGCAAAGGCGAAAGUCGCCUUAGGAGGAGCCUGCGUCUGAUUAGCUUGUUGGUGGGGUAAAGGCCUACCCAAGGCGACGAUCAGUAGCUGGUCUGAGAGGAUGAUCAGCCACAUUGGGACUGAGACACGGCCCAAACUCCUACGGGAGGCAGCAGUGGGGAAUAUUGGACAAUGGGCGCAAGCCUGAUCCAGCAAUGCCGCGUGGGUGAAGAAGGUCUUCGGAUUGUAAAGCCCUUUUGGCGGGGACGAUGAUGACGGUACCCGCAGAAUAAGCUCCGGCUAACUUCGUG
rnacentral:rRNA from 1 species